AGUGAACGCUGGCGGUAGGCCUAACACAUGCAAGUCGAACGGCAGCACAGUAAGAGCUUGCUCUUACGGGUGGCGAGUGGCGGACGGGUGAGGAAUACAUCGGAAUCUACUUUUUCGUGGGGGAUAACGUAGGGAAACUUACGCUAAUACCGCAUACGACCUACGGGGGAAAGCAGGGGAUCUUCGGACCUUGCGCGAUUGAAUGAGCCGAUGUCGGAUUAGCUAGUUGGCGGGGUAAAGGCCCACCAAGGCGACGAUCCGUAGCUGGUCUGAGAGGAUGAUCAGCCACACUGGAACUGAGACACGGUCCAGACUCCUACGGGAGGCAGCAGUGGGGAAUAUUGGACAAUGGGCGCAAGCCUGAUCCAGCCAUACCGCGUGGGUGAAGAAGGCCUUCGAGUUGUAAAGCCCUUUUGUUGGGAAAGAAAAGCAGCAGGUUAAUACCCCGCUGUUCUGACGGUACCCAAAGAAUAAGCACCGGCUAACUUCGUG
rnacentral:rRNA from 1 species